rnacentral:rRNA from 1 species
GACGAACGCUGGCGGCGCGCCUAACACACGCAAGUCGAACGAGCGAGAGAGAGCUUGCUUUCUCAAGCGAGUGGCGAACGGGUGAGUAACGCGUGAGGAACCUGCCUCAAAGAGGGGGACAACAGUUGGAAACGACUGCUAAUACCGCAUAAGCCCACAGGUCGGCAUCGACCAGAGGGAAAAGGAGCAAUCCGCUUUGAGAUGGCCUCGCGUCCGAUUAGCUAGUUGGUGAGGUAACGGCCCACCAAGGCAACGAUCGGUAGCCGGACUGAGAGGUUGAACGGCCACAUUGGGACUGAGACACGGCCCAGACUCCUACGGGAGGCAGCAGUGGGGAAUAUUGCACAAUGGGGGAAACCCUGAUGCAGCGACGCCGCGUGGAGGAAGAAGGUCUUCGGAUUGUAAACUCCUGUUGUUGAGGAAGAUAAUGACGGUACUCAACAAGGAAGUGACGGCUAACUACGUG